UGCAAGAGUCGUCCUUGUGUUCU
rnacentral:misc_RNA from 1 species